rnacentral:rRNA from 1 species
GACGAACGCUGGCGGCGUGCUUAACACAUGCAAGUCGAACGGAAAGGCCUGCUUUCCCCUGUGGAUUGCGGGUACUCGAGUGGCGAACGGGUGAGUAACACGUGAGUGAUCUGCCCCCAACUUGGGUAUAAGCCUGGGAAACUGGGUCUAAUUCCCGAUAGGACUGCAGGGUGGUGCCUGUGGUGGAAAACGAUUUUCUAGUGGUUGGGGAUGAGCUCGCGGCCUAUCAGCUUGUUGGUGGGGUAAUGGCCUACCAAGGCGGCGACGGGUAGCCGGCCUGAGAGGGUGGACGGCCACAUUGGGACUGAGAUACGGCCCAGACUCCUACGGGAGGCAGCAGUGGGGAAUAUUGCACAAUGGGCGGAAGCCUGAUGCAGCGACGCCGCGUGGGGGAUGACGGCCUUCGGGUGGUAAACUCCUUUCGACCGAGAGGAAGCCACCUGGUUGGAAGGGUGGUGACGGUAGUGGUAGAAGAAGCACCGGCUAACUACGUG